AAAACAGUGAUGCGAGAUAACUUGAGGAGCAAGUCAGAAGAAUAUGUAUAGGUCGACCUUUGUCCUUCUGCAUGCGAAGAGUAUGUGUUCGAGGUAGCGUGGAUUAAUAAAACGUACUGACAGAGUCAUAUGUAUCCUUCUGCACGAAGCUACGUGGAGAUUUCCUGAACUAAUGAUUCACUUUUAUGGGGGAUGACAGCUCUAGAUCGACCAUUGUCCUUUGCACACUUAUUGCGGAGUACUGAAAGAGAUAAUUUUUAGUAACAAGAACUGCGUAUAGUACUCUCCCAACUCACUACAUAAAGGAAUGCGUGCAGCUCCUCAUGACGGUCAUGGACUAUGUCCCGAAUCUAUGCCUGAGACUAUCUGGCCUAAAGCGUCGUCAGAGAACUACAUGAUCAUGGGGAUUAAGUUUCUUUUGCUUGCAAUCUGUAUAUGGUCUUUGCCAGACUCCUUGGUUUCUACAAAUUCCUCUGAUGGGCUUAUUAGAAUUGCUCUAAGGAAGCGUACUUUAGACCUUAAGAGUAUAAAUGCUGCAACAAUCACCAGUCGAGAGGAUCUUCUUCGAAGUGAUCUUGGUCAUUAUAAUAGUAAUUUCGAUGAUCUGGAAGCAAAUAUAGUAUAUCUAAAGAAUUAUUUUGAUACUCAAUAUUAUGGAGAGAUUGGCAUUGGUACUCCCUGGCAAAGUUUUACUGUUGUCUUUGAUACUGGCAGCUCCCAUCUUUGGGUUCCCUCUUCAAAAUGCGUUUUUUCUAUCGCUUGCUAUCUCCAUUCUAAGUACAGGGCCAGGCUAUCCAGUACCUAUACUAAGAUUGGAAAACAUUGCAAAAUCCCCUAUGGGUCUGGAUCUAUUUCUGGCUUCUUCAGCCAAGAUGAUGUCAGAGUUGGGGACGUCCUCGUUAGAAAUCAAGAAUUCGCUGAGGUUACUGGAGAAGGCUUUUUCACAUUCUUAGGCACUGAGUUUGAUGGAAUACUUGGCCUUGGGUUUCGGGAAAUGGCUGUUGGGCUAGUAACACCAGUGUGGUAUAAUAUGUUUGAACAACAUCACAUAAGCCAGAAAAUGUUCUCUUUUUGGCUUAAUCGAGAUCCAACAUCAAGAUUGGGAGGUGAGGUUGUCUUUGGAGGUCUUGAUUGGAGGCACUUUAGGGGUGACCAUACUUACGUCCCUUUGACUCGCAACGAUUACUGGCAGAUUGAGAUGGGGGACAUUCUUAUUGAAAAUGACUCAACAGGAUUAUGCAAGUACGGGUGUGCUGCCAUUAUUGAUUCGGGAACAUCACUACUUGCUGGUCCAACUGUAUUAAUACUUAUACUGGCUGUUGUUGCUCAAAUCAACCAUGCCAUUGGAGCAGCAGGAUUCAUAAACAUGGAGUGUAAAAGUGUUGUUCUCAAGUAUGGGAAUAUGAUAUGGGAAUACCUAAUAGAAGGGAUACGGCCUGAGAUAAUAUGUGUGGAUCUUGGACUCUGUAGAUACAAUGAGUCUCGUCGUGUAAGCCUGAACAUUGCAUCAAUGGUUCAAAAUCGAACUCAGGAGGGGUCGUCCGUUGGUGAGAGUCCUUUCUGUACUUUCUGUGAGAUGAUUGUCUUCUGGGUUCAAGUACAGCUUAAACAACAGAAAGAACAGGAAAAGGUGUUUAAAUAUGUUGAUGAGCUGUGUGAGAUGCUCCCAAAUCCUUUGGGAAAGUCAUUUAUCAACUGCGAUAAGAUGGCAGCCAUGCCAUACAUUUCAUUGACAAUUGGAAACAAAUCCUUCCCCCUCUCUCCAGAGCAGUACACGCUUAGAGUUGAAGAAGGCUGUUCCACUGUCUGCCUGAGCGGCUUUGUGCCUUUGGAUGUGCCUACCCCUCAAGGUCCUCUAUGGGUUCUUGGAGACAUUUUCUUGGGAGCAUACCACACAGUGUUUGAUUUUGCUAAUCUCCGGGUGGGAUUUGCAAAAGCCGCAUAGGAUUGUUCGGUAUUAAAGUUAAAGCAGGCAAUGGUAAAAGCGAUAGUAGAAGGUGUACUGUAUAUGACUCAUUCAAAUAGUACAAAGCUAGAAGAAGUGUUGGACCAGUCGGUAUUAGAACCGCGGAUAUCAGAUUCUUGUUUCUGAAAAGAUUCAAAUCUAAGUACACAAGGACAGAUGAAUCCAUCAAGAUGCACCUUAGGGUCACCCCUUAAUUAUGUGUAAGUGGGGGGGGCCCUGGAACGUACCCACGACCUACUACCACGUACAGUUUAUGAUGGUGGCAUGCAUAUUCUCUUCAUAACAGGCAAAAUCAUCAGCCAUUCUUGUAUAUAUAGAACGAUAGUAAUUUCUCCCUUCGUAAAAUAAUUCUCGUGUUGACGAUGGAAAGUUCUGUUUGUUUGCCAUUAUCCUCUUAUUCACAUACGAGAGCAAGAGGUUCAAUAUUAUGUACUUUACUACACCA